AGAUAAAGGAGCCUUCACGGCUUGAGGCUGUAUAACAGGAAGGUGUUGGCUAUUCCUAUAAAGGAGAAUGAACACCAACUAGUUCUUGAGAACGCCGCAAAUUUGUGGCAAAAGAUAAUUUGACAGCUAAAUAGUUCUGCCAUGGGAAAGGAGAAGUCUCACACUAACAUUGUGGCCACUGGCCAUGUCGACUCUUGUAAGUCGACCGCAACUGGCCAUCUACUUUGAGAAGUUAGUCGCUGAGACCCGUUAGCACCAUCUUCGCGUGCUCACUCGUGAAGUAAUGCGGAUGAUCUGCUGCUGCACCAAGGUGAUGGACGAGGCCAUCUUGUUCAACCAACUAUCAAAAACAUGGCUCUGGCUCUGAUCAUGGAGCAAGUGUACGCAUAGGAGAAGUUGUACCGGUGGGCUCUGUCGGAAGAAGCAAAGAGGGCAGGCACAUGGUUGGUGAAGGCAGAGGUGAUUCGGCUUGGCGUCAAGGAGGUCAUGACCUGUCCUCGUUACAACCUCUAUGAAGAAGAGCGCAGCAGAUGGAGUUCAUGCCUGCACCUAGUGGCAUCUAAACCAACUUUCACCGGCCCACACAUGUAAAAAGGCACUUAUGUUGACCGGGGUGUGCUGGGAGUUUGGUCAGGAACUUUGAUACUUGCGGCUUAUGAAGAAACAUAUAAGAUCCUGAAAUCAAUAGGGGUGCGGUUCCGGACGUGACAGAGUUU